rnacentral:rRNA from 1 species
CAGGCCUAACACAUGCGAGUCGAGCGGAGCGAGGGUGCUUGCACCUUAGCUUAGCGGCGGACGGGUGAGUAAUGCUUAGGAAUCUGCCUAUUAGUGGGGGACAACGUUUCGAAAGGAACGCUAAUACCGCAUACGUCCUACGGGAGAAAGCAGGGGAUCUUCGGACCUUGCGCUAAUAGAUGAGCCUAAGUCGGAUUAGCUAGUUGGUGGGGUAAAGGCCUACCAAGGCGACGAUCUGUAGCGGGUCUGAGAGGAUGAUCCGCCACACUGGGACUGAGACACGGCCCAGACUCCUACGGGAGGCAGCAGUGGGGAAUAUUGGACAAUGGGGGGAACCCUGAUCCAGCCAUGCCGCGUGUGUGAAGAAGGCCUUUUGGUUGUAAAGCACUUUAAGCGAGGAGGAGGCUUACCUAGUUAAUACCUGGGAUAAGUGGACGUACUCGCAGAAUAGCACCGCACUCUG